UUUAUAGAGAGGGUCACUCUGUACUCUGCCCUUUCCCCCCGUGCUGCCCAGUCUUCCAACUUCAAGGGACACGUGUGUGUGUGUGUGCGCGCGCGCGCGCGCGCUAAGUGGGCAGUGGAGGAGGUUGGGGUGCGGGUUGUCUUGUACCCCAGUACCGGCCCUUCCUCGGAUCUGUUUUCAAUUCAUUCUGCUCCUUGGCCCAGACUUAUGACCUUUGCAGCCUGCGGCAGUAUCAUCCAUCACCUAGGCGCCGCUUACGGCGAUGAAGGGCGCUGGGAGCUCACACAGGGUCGCUGUCACGCCUACCGCGCUCUCUGGGGAUCUGCUCUCUGGCCCGCAGGCCAGGGCUUAACAGUCUUGGCAUCCUGGACCGUCAAGGGCAAAGGGAACAGAAAACUGAACCCGGUCCUGCAGUCUUCUUGUGUGCUUCCCUACCCCCAUCACACCUCAGCCUUCUGGAAGGGGGGCGCGCCUGUCCCAGGCCCUCCUCCUAGCUGAGUCUCGGCCCUCCCCCCGCCAGCAGCAGAUGGUGCCCGGGCUCCCGCUGCCAACCUUGCUAGGCGGUGCCAACCUCAGUCCUGGCAGACAACGGGCAGACGAGAAGAGGAGCUCCUGGCUGGCCAAGCCGACCCUCCCCCACCCGGCAUCGAGCUCAAGACCCCCCACACACGCUUGCCCCACUCCAGCGACCACUUCAGCCUCCCUCUCACUGGGUCCACUCCCAGGUCCCCAAACUCCUCGUCUCCUUCUGCUCCCUUCCCCACACCUUCCCGCUCCUCGCCACCUGCCGCCCUGACCAGGGCCGGCGUAUUUGCAUAUUUGCAUAUGCAAAUAAUAACAUUUGCAUACGGCGCUCCGCAGGGGGUCUCCGCAAGAGCCGGUUAGCUGUCUGCCCUCCGUCCUCACUCGGAACCUGUCGGAAAGGGUUAGGGCAGGGGCCGCGUGGGAGGGGUUAGACCCCCGGCCUAGCUAGCUCGGUUCCCGGAGGACUUGAGGAAGUGUUGCCAUGGAGACGGCACGCACCCCACCCCCUCCCAGGCCCAGGGUCUCGGGCUUGGUGUCUCCGGUUCUCUCCCCUUACCCACCCUCUACCCCCUCCCCAUCCCUCGCUCUCCAACCGAGAUCUUGCAUCGCCCCCUGGCGGCCUAACUCGGCGCCAAGCCAGAUUCCGAAAUACAAGGGGCUGCCUGCAGCUAAAUAGCCAAGAGCAAGGGGGACUUACCCUACUACAAGAACCGGCUCCCAGCCGCUGGGGCGCGGGGGCGGCGACUGCAGCUCCGCGCUCCCCUUUCUUCACUGACCACAGAGGCCUCACCUGGCGGGCGCACUUAUCUUCCCACCUCCCGCCAACUUCAGCCCAGAUGGGUCUCAGGUUACCCGAUGGUAACGAGGUCGGGCAGGUAGGGAGGAUUCUCCACCCCUCCGCAGGCCCUCUCCUCAACCCCAGUUAAAGAACAACUUUUCUAAGUUUUGUCAAAAGUUUAAUAAAACUUGCAA